ensembl:lncRNA
CUUGUUGUUUUGCAACAUGGUGCUGCUUUACAUGCACCCGGAUUUGCGACAUGCUUUACAGUAACUCAAAACAAAGACUGCACCCUCUCCACUCGCUGUUUAAAGACUGCAUACUUUCCAGAUGACCACAGGUCAGGUGGUAUAUCGUGAUAUAUAUCGUUAUCGUGAUAUAAAAUAAUUCAUAUCGUGAUAAAUAUUUUUUCCAUAUGGCCCAGCACUAUGUGGAAGCCUCUCCGACAUUCUUUGCAGUAGUUCAUUUUGUCUCCAGUGUGUCUACGUUGAUGUGGUUUUAGGUCCUGUAGAUGAUUGGAGGUAUUUCCACAAAGGUCACAGAGAAACUCUUUCCCACAACCACAGUGACGACAGGGUUGAGAAGUGGAUCCAAAUGCGUUGCUCUGAUUCUUAACAAAGACAGUGUAAGUCAGGGAAUUCCUUCAACGUUUUUAUUCUGAACGUCACCUGAAAUAAAGAGCAUCUCUGCCAACGUCCAAUUACAUUCUACUGUUUACAUUAUAACACUCAGCUUACAAUUCCAAGAUACAACAUAUAUACAUCCUCACAGUAACUGCACUUGUAGAGUUACUUUCUGGUGUGGAUCUGUUGGUGUUUUUUCAGCUGAUGUGAAGCUUUAAAAGUCUUCUCACACAGGUCACAUUCAUAAGGUCUCUCCUCAGUGUGGCUAAACACGUGUUGUUGUAACUGUGCAUCUGUUGUAAAUAGUUUUCCACACUGAUCACAGCAGGAAACAUCAAUUCCAGUGUGACUCCGCAGGUGAAUAUUUCGGUAGUGUUUGUUGCUGAAACUUUUUCCACAAAAGUCGCAGCUGUACGCCUUAAUUCCAGAGUGGGUAACUAGAUGCCUCUGUAAGCUGCUAUUUUGAGCAAAAGCUUUACCACACAACUCACAGCUGUAAGGUUUAACUCCACUGUGGAUGAUAUGGUGUAAUUUUAAGCCUUUAUGAUGGGUAAAAGACUUUCCACACAAGUGACAGUUGUACACUUUAAAUCCACUGUGGAUCAGUUGGUGUCUUUUUAAGUUUCCAGCCUGGGUAAAAGACUUUCCACACAACUCACAGCCGUACGGUUUAAAUCCACUGUGGAUGAGUUGGUGUUUUUUUAAGGUUCCAGCCUCGGUAAAAGACUUUCCACACAAUUUACAGCUGUAAGGUUUAACUCCGCUGUGGAUGAGUUGGUGUGUUUUUAAGCUUCCAGCCUGGGUAAAAGACUUUCCACACAAUUUACAGCUGUAAGGUUUAACUCCACUGUGGAUGAGUUGGUGUGUUUUUAAGCUUCCAGCCUGGGUAAAAGACUUUCCACACAAGUCACAGCUGUAAGGUUUAACUCCACUGUGGAUGAGUUGGUGUGUUUUUAAGCCUCCAGCCUGGGUAAAAGACUUUCCACACAAGUCACAGCUGUAAGGUUUAACUCCACUGUGGAAGAGUUGGUGUCUUUUUAAGUUUCCAGCCUCGGUAAAAGACUUUCCACACUCAUCACAGCUAUAAGCUUUAACUCCACUGUGGAUGAGCUGGUGUGUUUUUAAGUUUCCAGCCUGGGUAAAAGACUUUCCACACAAGUCACAGCUGUAAGGUUUAACUCCACUGUGGAUGAGCUGGUGUGUUUUUAAGUUUCCAGCCUGGGUAAAAGACUUUCCACACUCAUCACAGCUGUAUGUUUUCUCUCCCUUUCUUCUGUGAGGUUUGUCGGCCUCCUGAGAGCGCUGACUUCUCGCUCCAUGUUGGUCCU